UGGGGAAUAUUGCACAAUGGAGGGAACUCUGAUGCAGCGACGCCGCGUGAAUGAAGAAGGCUUUCGAGUCGUAAAGUUCUUUUAUAUGGGAAGAUAAUGACGGUACCAUAAGAAAAAGCCCCGGCUAACUACGUGCCAGCAGCCGCGGUAAUACGUAGGGGGCUAGCGUUGUCCGGAAUCACUGGGCGUAAAGGGUUCGCAGGCGGAAAUGCAAGUCAGGUGUAAAAGGCAGUAGCUUAACUACUGUAAGCAUUUGAAACUGCAUAUCUUGAGAAGAGUAGAGGUAAGUGGAAUUUUUAGUGUAGCGGUGAAAUGCGUAGAUAUUAAAAAGAAUACCGGUGGCGAAGGCGACUUACUGGGCUCAUUCUGACGCUGAGGAACGAAAGCGUGGGUAGCAAACAGGA
rnacentral:rRNA from 1 species